CUCUCAAGUAGCUGGGACUACAGACAUGCACUGGCAUGUCUGGCUAAUUUUUCAUUUAUUGUAGAGAUAGAGUCUCACUAUGUUGCCAGGCUGGUCUCAGUCUCCUAGCCUCAGGCUCCUGAAGUGAUGGGAUUACAGGUACGAGCCACUGUAUCCUGCAUAGCUUACUUUAUUGUAAGAAUACAGUAUAUAGACAAGGGUAGUGGCUGUCGCCAAAGUAGGAGUCUCCACUGCCGUCGUCGUGCUCCGGAACCUCCGGGACCCUCCCUGCCAUGCCAUGGAAGACCUUCAAGCAGCGCUGCACCUUCCAACAGAGAGUAGAAGAUGUCCGGCUCAUAAGAGAGCAGCACGCUACCAAAAUCCCGGUUAUAACAGAACGAUAUAAGGGUGAGAAGCAGCUUCCUGUCCUGUAUAAAACCAAGUUUCUCGUACCUGAUCAUGUCAACGUGAGUGAACUUAUCAAGAUAAUUAGAAGGUGCUUACAGCUAAGCGCUAACCAAGCCUUCUUUCUGCUGGUGAAUGAACACAGCAUGGUGAGCGUCUCGACGCCCAUCUCCGAGGUGUAUGAGAGCAAGAAGGAUGAAGACGGGUUCCUGACAUGGUGUAUACCUCCCAGGAAACAUUCAGGAUGAGACUGGCAGUGUAAGACCAGAAAAAUAAAUCGAUUAUGUAACUUUUUAUACCCUUACCAAGGCAAAAAAGGGAUGUUACCAACUGAAAUUGAUCAGUUCACCUAAUCACAGAUCAUUAAAACAGUA